rnacentral:rRNA from 1 species
CCCGAGGAAAAGAAAUCAACCGAGAUUCCCCCAGUAGCGGCGAGCGAACGGGGAGGAGCCCAGAGCCUGAAUCAGCAUGUGUGUUAGUGGAAGCGUCUGGAAAGGCGCGCGAUACAGGGUGACAGCCCCGUACACAAAAGCGCAUGUGCUGUGAGCUCGAUGAGUAGGGCGGGACACGUGGUAUCCUGUCUGAAUAUGGGGGGACCAUCCUCCAAGGCUAAAUACUCCUGACUGACCGAUAGUGAACCAGUACCGUGAGGGAAAGGCGAAAAGAACCCCGGCGAGGGGAGUGAAAAAGAACCUGAAACCGUGUACGUACAAGCAGUGGGAGCACAGGUUUACCUGUGUGACUGCGUACCUUUUGUAUAAUGGGUCAGCGACUUAUAUUCUGUAGCAAGGUUAACCGUAUAGGGGAGCCGGAGGGAAACCGAGUCUUAACCGGGCGUUAAGUUGCAGGGUAUAGACCCGAAACCCGGUGAUCUAGCCAUGGGCAGGUUGAAGGUUGGGUAACACUAACUGGAGGACCGAACCGACUAAUGUUGAAAAAUUAGCGGAUGACCUGUGGCUGGGGGUGAAAGGCCAAUCAAACCGGGAGAUAGCUGGUUCUCCCCGAAAGCUAUUUAGGUAGCGCCUCGUGAAUUCAUCUCCGGGGGUAGAGCACUGUUUCGGCUAGGGGGCCAUCCCGGCUUACCAACCCGAUGCAAACUGCGAAUACCGGAGAAUGUUAUCACGGGAGACACACGGCGGGUGCUAACGUCCGUCGUGAAGAGGGAAACAACCCAGAC